rnacentral:rRNA from 1 species
UGGUGGAGUGAUUUGUCUGGUUAAUUCCGUUAACGAACGAGACCUUAACCUGCUAAAUAGUCGCGUCAACCUUGGUUGGCGAUCUUUCACGACUUCUUAGAGGGACUACGAAUGUUAUAAUUCGUGGAAGUUUGAGGCAAUAACA